rnacentral:tRNA from 1 species
GCCCUGGGCGGUGAACACGGUUAACAUAUCCGGCUGCUAACCGGAAGGAUGGAGGUUUGAGUCCACUCAGAGGCA